AAGCGGGGCGGAGGAGAGAAACUAGCGAGCGUGGGGAAAUGACAGGCAAGCGCCAGCUCUCAGGUUCCGCCACGGGUAGGGUAGCAGGAGAGAAGGAGAGAGCCCAAAGCGUGUCGGGGAGCUGGGCGGCGGGCGCGCGUGCCUCCGGCUUUCUUGGCGGGCAGCGCCGGGCGCGUGUUUGUGAGGAGGGGCGGCCGGCGGAAGGACGGGAGAGCCGGUGGACGGUGAAGGGCGAGGGAAGGCGGAAUGGGGCAAGGGCGCCUAACAGCGCUGCUUGGGAUUGGAAGGAAACGCCAAUUGACUGGUGAGGAGACGCAGCCAGAGAGUCCAUGCUGGCUUCCUCUCCUUCCCGCCCCUACCCCUUCGUUCAGCAGAGGCUGCGAAAGGGUAAAGGACCGGGAACUCUCCCAAGCUGGAAGCUCUUUAGAAUCCCCUGAGUUCCUGAGGGGAAACGGAGAAGUUCAUCAUCAUCAUCAUCUUAAAACUGCAGAGCUGGAAGGGACCCUGUGGAUCAUCGAGUCCAACCUCUGUCAAGGAGACACAGAGGGGAAUCGAACUCCCAACCCCUGGCUCCAAUGGGCUGUUCAGCAGUUGUGUACAUGUGGAGGUAUGGAUGACUUGGCUAAUCAGGUCUGAGAGCUCAAGUGAUGGAAAGGAUGAGGUCCCCAUUAGGAGGCUCAAAACAAAAUGAAGAGCUUGCAAAAUCAACCAAUUGAUAAUUUCUUUUUUUCUUAAAGGAAACCAUUU